AUGGACGCCCUCUCCUGCUUUACGCCGCCUGCGAUGCUCUCCCGGUCCUUUGCGGACGCGGCCAUCGCGCGCGCGCUCCACUUCUCCCUCUCGGCCGGUUCCUCCUCCGUCCCGGAGCCGUCCACCGUCGCCGAUCUCGGCGCCUGCAGCGCGGCAGCCACGACGGCCUCGCCCUCCUCCUGCGGCCCGGUGGCGAUGCUUCCCCCGGCGGCACCGUCCGCGCGUUGCAGGCUGGGACCCGCGGGCGGCCGCGCUGGGAAGCGGCGGCCGCGGCCGUCCAAGCGCGUGCCCACCACGUACAUAAGCACCGACGCGGCCACCUUCCGUCUCAUGGUGCACCACGUCACGGGCGCCGAGGCCGACCCGCAGGUCGACGCCGACGCCAGCCUCGGUGUCCUCCUGUCGCCCUUCGACUUUGAUCACUUGCUGCCGUCAGACCCUGCGGCGGCCGCGGCCCAAGUCGCCGCGUACGCCCUUCCGGCGGCGGCGGCGGAGCAGCCGUGCUUCCCGACGCUGGACUCGUGGAACGUCAUGUACGACAAGAAGUAG
rnacentral:rRNA from 1 species